AUACGUAGGGGGCGAGCGUUGUCCGGAGUUACUGGGCGUAAAGGGCGCGCAGGCGGCCACUUGUGUCAUGGGUGAAAUACCGGGGCUUAACCCCGGGGGUGCCUGUGAAACUGGGUGGCUUGAGGGCCGGAGAGGACAGCGGAAUUCCCGGUGUAGCGGUGAUAUGCGUAGAUAUCGGGAGGAACACCAGUGGCGAAGGCGGCUGUCUGGACGGUACCUGACGCUCAGGCGCGAAAGCCCGGGGAGCAAACGGGAUUAGAUACCCCGGUAGUCCGGGCCGUAAACGAUGAGUGCUAGGUGUGGCGGGUAUCGACCCCCGCCGUGCCGGAGUUAACGCAAUAAGCACUCCGCCUGGGGAGUACGGUCGCAAGGCUGAA
rnacentral:rRNA from 1 species